rnacentral:tRNA from 1 species
GAAUUUGUAGCUCAGAUGGUAGAGCACCGGACUGUCACUCCGGGGGACGUGGGUUCGAUUCCUGCUGAAUUCGACA